CUGUUCCCAGGCCAAGGGGAUUUUCUUCCUCCUUCCCUUCUUCCCUUCUUCCCUUCUUCCCUUCUUCCCCCCUUUCUCCCUUCUUCCCUCCUUCCUCCCUCCCUCCCGCGCUCUCUCUCUCUCUCUCUCUCUCUCUCUCUCUCUCUCUCUCUCUCUCUCUCUUUCUUUCUCUCUCUCUCUCUUUUUUCUUUCUUUCUUUCUUUCUUUCUCUCUCUUUCUCUCUCUCUCUCUUUCUUUCUUUCUUUCUUUCUUUCUUUCUUUCUUUCUUUCUUUCUUUCUUUCUUUCUUUCUUUCUUUCUUUCUUUCUUUCUUUCUUUCUUUCUUUCUUUCUUUCUUUCUUUCUUCCUUUCCCUUACAUUGUGUCUUAGUAUCAAUUCUAAGGCAGAAGAGCAGCAAAGGUUAGACAAUUGGAGUUAAAUGAUUUGUCCAGGGUCACAUAGCUAGGAAGUACCUGGGGCCAAAUUUGAAGUAAGAAUAGAUUUAGGAAGGAAGGUGAGAUGAAUUUUAUGGAAUCACACUAAAUUUCAGAAUUGGCCAGGAUCAGAAACCACUUAGUCCAAAUGGUAUCUC
rnacentral:lncRNA from 1 species